UCACUUACCUGGAUGGGGUCAACUCGUGAUCAAAAAGACGGGUGGCCUAGGCUAGUGAGUAGUGACUUCCAUUGCACGUAAAGGAAGGGUGCUUAGCCUAAGGUCUUCCCAAGUGGAAGAGCCUGCCUCAUUAUUUGUGGCAGUGGGGUGCUUGCGUCCGCGCGGCCCCUAC
rnacentral:snRNA from 2 species